UACGUAGGGUGCGAGCGUUAAUCGGAAUUACUGGGCGUAAAGCGUGCGCAGGCGGUCUGUUAAGACCGAUGUGAAAUCCCCGGGCUUAACCUGGGAACUGCAUUGGUGACUGGCAGGCUUUGAGUGUGGCAGAGGGGGGUGGAAUUCCACGUGUAGCAGUGAAAUGCGUAGAGAUGUGGAGGAACACCGAUGGCGAAGGCAGCCCCCUGGGCUGAGAUUGACGCUCAGGCACGAAAGCGUGGGGAGCAAACAGG
rnacentral:rRNA from 1 species